rnacentral:lncRNA from 1 species
AUGUGCACAGGACUCCACGGGAGCUGCCCUCCCCGUGACGUGCGAGAACUUUCCGCCAAUGGCGCGCGGGCAGCCCCAAAGGGGCGAGGCUCGCUCCCCUCCCUCCCCUGCGCUCCCCUCACCCUCCCACUCCCGGUGCGGGCCCGGGCGCGGCUCAGCUGCUCAGCGGCUCCCGGGCGGGCCGGCCCCGCUCCCCUCCAGCUCUCCUCCGGCUCCCCUGGCUGCGCCGAGAGCUGCAGCGCGAGCCGGCCUGCUUCCCAGCCAACCCGAGAGCUUUCGGCUCUUCGGUGGCUGCUACCUGUCUGCCCUGGGCGCCUAUGCGGCUCGGGGUCUCAGGGCAGAGAUCUCCCCCACAUUCGGAACCAGAGCCCAGAACGCCCACUGAGACAGGCACGGACAGGCACACAUGCACCCCGACAGACAUGCUCAGACUUAUACGGAACCACAGCACCAACACUGAGACACACCCGUCCAGCGCACCGACCAGCGCGCGCGCGCGCGUACAGAAACCGACAAACACAAAGUCACCCCUGUCCAACACUGAGACGCCGCCAGAAACCAGCACAGAAGCGCCUAGAAGCUCCCACACAGAAAAGUAAACAACACACAAACGCUCACUUUGGAGGUAUGCGGAGCGCCACAGACACGGACGUCCCCAUCCAGAUAUAUCAUCCUGGCCAUAGCACGGAGAACAAAUUGGAAAGGGGCAAGAGUGGAGACAGAGAUGGAAGAUGUUGGGGCCUGGAUCUGAGCAACAGUGGUGGACACAGAGAGAAGGGAACAGAUGCCAGAGCUAAUUCAGGGCAUAACUAG